CUUACCCCCCUUCUUAGGCACCAUCACCACAGCUGCUGCCCAGGGACUAUCUGAGGGCUCUAUAAGGCCCGCCUGCUGCAUCUCCAACAGCGCCUAGUACACAGCCUCCUGGCGGGCCAAGGGCAGGCGACGCGGGCGCAUUCUGAUGGGCCUGGCGUCCCCAGUGUCGAUUUCAUGCUGCACCAGGUGUGUCUGACCCACGUCGCUCUCAUUCAAGGCAAAGCUGUCCUUAAACUCUGCCAGAAGACGCCACAGCUGCUCCUGCUGUUGAGGGUCUAGUCCAUCACCGUGCCCCUGCCAUAUUGGCCGCACAGUGGACAUAUUACGUAACAGCUUAUAUCAUUGGCUGUUCUGAAAGCCAGAUUGACAAAAUAUCUUGAUAAGAUCAUUGACAAACAAAGUAAGGGCAUCAAACCAUCACACAAACAGUUAAAAAUAGGCUAAUGUACAUUUGAUCACAUCAUGUGUAAAUCAAAUUGUUAGUGUUAGUUUCCUCGUCUCCUGAGACUCCUCUCACUAGAUAGGGCUAUGUUAUCAUUGUGUAUGUCAGUUGAUUUUGAUAUUUCCGAUGGACUGUAUUUUCAUGUACUGUAUUGUUCGUGCCUGUUUGCAACAACUGUGUAUUCCAUAGACCUGUGGUGUAUAAAAGUGAGAUCUAAAGGUAAUUUCCAACCACACUGAAAAUGUGGAAACUUAAGAUCCACUUUUGAGCAUUCAUCUAAAUAUUAUUAGAAUAUGAACACAACCAUCAAAUAUUUAUUGAUUCAUGUAUUAUUAUUUAUUUAUUUUAAAUAAAAUGUAUAGUUGUGAGCAUGCAGGUCCUCUACCAUUCACCAGGGGGUGCUGCAGCACCCUCCCCGCCCCUACUUCCAGGGCUUUGCAUAGAGGUUUAGCCGCGAGAGACUAAAAGUGGGAAGAAGACCCAGUGACGUGCAUAGCCGAAAUAAUUCUGUUCCACUUCUUGGUAUUUGUUUUUAUCCUUUCUCUUCAUAUACUCAUCAGAACACCAACUUUCUUUAAAGGGCUCCUAUUAUACCACCUGGUCCGUCUGACUGUGAUUAAUCAGUAAAAAACGUUUAAAAAUCUGCCCUUCCCUGUGUCUUAAUACACAAGUGAACAUUAUAAAAUCUGUAGUUUAUGGCAGAGCUGUUGUAUUUAAUUUAAUUAGAUUAUCAAUUGAGAAUAAUAGAUACCAAUUCCAGAAGCAUAAUAAUUUGAAUAUAAAUGAAUUCAUUUAUUGCUGGUUAAUAACUACAUUAAAUACACCAUAAGAAAAGAAAACUUCACAUUUAAGAAGGACUAUUGGGGGCAGUUAAUUUCAACAUCAACAUAAGUUUAGCCUCUUUUUUUUUCCACAUGUGAAUUGGAAUUCAAGUGGCCUAAAAUAUUCCAGUUGGCCAAGUCCGACCUAAGUGAUUCUCACUGUUGGCGGUAACCUGAUUGAAAAUCAAAGAGCGCUUGUUUUAGUCGAUCUCUUGAAAUUGUAGUUUCACACUUGAGACGCUAGAGGUCGGCAAUACCCGCCGUCGCGCAAUGAUGUUGGUUAGGAAGAGAGGAGUCGAAUUCAUUUUAAACAGUUCUGUCUUUUCCUAUGUUCGAAAGGAAACACCUCUUCAUCUCUCCUUGACCCAAUGACGUUUUUCCACAAAGGUUAAGGAAAGGAGGCAUAAAGGUUAGGAGAUUUGACUAAUCAUAGAGGCCCCCGGUCUCAUUUCAGACCAUCAGGGCAUCCCUCCUCUGAUUGGUUCGCGGAAACCUUCUUGCCUGUUGAUGGAAGGGAAGCCAAUCCAAUUACUAGUCCAAGGUAGCAGACUUUUUCAUAUGCUUUUUUUUUUUUUUUAAUUGUUCAUUCUCUUCGGCGACACCAUUGGUGAUAAGCGGUAAUUGUGCCCAUCUCAAUACUGCAAAAUGCAUGGGCUUUCAUCAGUGGGCCAAAGGCUCAAUCACCAUUGUGUUACCUCAUUCGGCGAUAUAAUGGGCUGGUAGGUAUUUCUGUUUUUUGAAAAGCAACAUCAAUUUUAAUCGACCAAAUUCGAAGUUAUCUUUGACAUAUUUACCAUUGUCACUGUACAUGUUGUAGGACAUGGUUAGCUAGCAAGCAGUGAAAAAAUAAGCAUGUGGGUUAAGAACGCACUGGGUUCUUAGAGAGCAACACAGAAAGUCACAAUGAUCGUGUGGCUCCCCCUAGCGGUUGUGGCCCUAAACAACGACAGUGUUUAUGUCAGCGGCCGCUGGUGUCAUCAGAAAUGCAAAGGUAGUUUACACACACACACACACACACACACACACACACACACACACACACACACACACACACACACACACACACACACACACACACACACACACACACACACACACACACCAUACACUGUAUUGGAACAGCCUUAUAGCGUUGUAUCAAUCAAUAUAACUGAAUAAUACCAAAAAGAAAAAAUGAUGACCCAUGUUAACUGUGAAUAUUUUUUUAACACUUUAUUCUUCGCCACACAUCUUUUCCAGGUCUAUUCAGGGGGAAAGCGGAGGUUUGCAAUACCACCACAAACAGUCACCCACAAAUUGCAGUUUUAACAAGCAGGGCUCGGCAUGACAAUGGUCUCAUUGCCAGAAGAUGCAUGAUCAGCUCCUGGCCUGCUGGCCUCCCCCAGACCGAGUCCCACAGUGGUUCCCGUUGGCGGGACACUCGGGCAAGGUAAUAACGCCACCUGCGGUCCGGUCCAUCCACAGCCAGCGGCCCGCCAGCCAGCGCAGACCGAUCCACACCUCCUCCGUCUGGAGCCGGGUCAUCUCUUCCUGGGCGUAGGAUAAUUCCUCCUCGUCGUGGAAGCUGAGGAGAUCCCUCCGCUUCGAUGCGUCCGGUUCAAGAGCUCUGCAGUGGUCGAGGGCUUCCUCCCAUGUCUUCUUCUCCUCCACAAACACCAGACUGAUCUGAGGCGGUCGAUGGAGGCUGCAACAGGCGGUGGUGGGCUGGUGGUGAGAGAGAGAAGGAAGAGGAACAGGUACUGGCUGCAUGUGUUCUCCAUGACUCCUCAACACAUCUGACCUCCUCUGGUAAAGAUUGUCUAGAUAUAUAUAUGGAAUGUCUCUAAUCAGAAUGUUGGAUACUAUCUGCAGGUAAAAACUGCCCGAGGGCAGUGAAGUGUGACUGAAUAAUAAUACAUCAGCAUCAAAACAUCUUAUGUUCUUGCAUUCAGAGUACAUCUAUAUUCAAGCACUGUCAUCCAAAGGCCUUGUAGAACCUUAAGAUCUACAUAUCUCUUACUGUCAAUGCUGGUAUUGCAACAUACCAAAGUAUUUUUGCCAUACCUGUUCGAGACCGAGUCUGAAACAUAACAGGUCAGGAUGAACAAUCAACAAGUUGUACUCUCAGUAAGAGAAUUGACAAAUAAAAUAUAAUAUUGUCUGCAUAGAGGGAUACCCUAUGCUCAGAAGUUUCUCUUUGAAUACCUUUAUUUGUAGAUUAAUCACGCAAUGGUCGAGCGACAAAACCUUGACCUUCUGUUUGAGCUUGACCUUGAUGGUGAUCAUCUGCUCAGACACCUGCAGGACAGGAUGUCACACCGGGACAAAUGCAAAAAGAGAGGCAAAUAUAUGCUUUGCCUUGUCUCAGCCAUUUAAGUCUGGAUUUGGAUGCAAUGGCAGACAAAACAACAACCUUCUCACUUAACACAAACAACACCUUCCUUUUUCACUUUUAGGAAAUUGGUUUACAAAAAAUGUAAUCACCAUCGCUAAUAUACAGGUUGUAAUUCAGAAGAAGGCUGUAUCAGCUAAGAUUUGAGAGGUAUUUUUUGAGGGUCAUUUGUAAGAAAGAUAACAACCUUGGUUGUUCAAUGUCUCCCCUUUCUAGUUGUUUUUUCUCCUGCUGAAAUCUCGUGCCUCACCUUUCGUUUUUUGGAUCUACAUCUCCAGCCGGCCUGCUUCACUCCCUCCAGCCUGAUGCGCCCCCCCACUUCCUUACCUGCCCCCUGCCUCACUCAACCCAUUCAAUGCUGACGGAUGGAUGUCAUUGAUAACAAAGGACUCUCAAAUAACAGCCCUUAAAUCGUACCUCAAGCACCUUUGGCGGUUGGAGCUUAUUCAUAAAUUCCUAGUUGGCCCCAUGGAUGUAUGGUUGAUGCCUCAUGACCAAAGACCAAAUAUGUAAAAAGAAGGCAUAUAUAUAUAUAUAUAUAUAGUAUAUUAUACCAUUGUUUUCACUGAAUCUUAUCAUAAAUAAUUAAAUACAAAAUAUCUGUGCAUUCUGACGGAUUAAAAUGUGAUCAUAGAUGUGAAUUCAUGAUGACCACACAACCCUCAAACAACAUAAAUUGAUUAACAACAAGAAACUGUCAAAAUAAGAUAAAAUAAUCUAUUAAUGAAUUCAUUUGAAAAAAAAAAUGGUGGAUAGGAUUCGGAGGAUAGAUAGAUGGAUGGAUUGAUUAUCGAUACUGGUUCCAAUGAAUCCUAUCUGGGUUCUGACAGGAUUCCAGGGCACGCCACCAAACAAACACAGAGGGAACCAAACAACACCCAAACUAACCCUAACCCUAGUGAAAUAAAAGAGGAGACUCUCUAAUAAGAUCCAACCAAAUCAUGCAAUGGUCACUGACAACUAAUCCUUAGCAAUGCCACGCAAACCAUUAAGUCAGGUGGUUGACAAGGAACCAAACACACACACACACACACACACACACACACACACACACACACACACACACACACACACACACACACACACACACACACACACACACACACACUUCCUGCAGCACCAAAAACUCUCACCUCCCAUCAGUGUUGGAAUUACACCG